UACGAAGGGGGCUAGCGUUGCUCGGAAUCACUGGGCGUAAAGGGUGCGUAGGCGGGUCUUUAAGUCAGGGGUGAAAUCCUGGAGCUCAACUCCAGAACUGCCUUUGAUACUGAAGAUCUUGAGUUCGGGAGAGGUGAGUGGAACUGCGAGUGUAGAGGUGAAAUUCGUAGAUAUUCGCAAGAACACCAGUGGCGAAGGCGGCCAACUGGCCCGAUACUGACGCUCAUGUGCGAAAGCGUGGGGAGCAAACAGG
rnacentral:rRNA from 1 species